rnacentral:lncRNA from 1 species
UUUUUAAGUGUUAAAAUAACCAGAGAGCUUUUUUUAUUGGACUUGUUUAUACUGGAAUUGAGAAGCCCAAUCUAAUUUGCUAUGAUUUAAGAGCUUUGAAAACUACCAUCUUAAGAAUCAUGUAGGCUACACACUUGAACAUUCAAUAUCAAGUGGUAAGUUUGUUUUUAUCUGUUGCUUCUGGUUCUGCAAUGAUGCAAGUUUUGAUUCCACUGAAGAUGAUGAUUAGGUUAUGACAAUACAUCUUUCAAAGAUGCUAGCCUCUACCCCUAGGCCCCACACAAAAAACACACGCACACACACACGCACACACAAGAGACCUCUGUUAAAAGAUCCAGUAGUCUGCCUUCAUUUAUUGCUGUUUAUGGAGAUGCAUCUUGAUCUCCUAAUGCUGUUGCUUUUAUUAUUAUUAUUUUUCAAAUAUCUACAACUGUAUUCUUAUUAGUUUUUUAGGUUGAAUAAUUGAUGGCUUGAUGCCUUCUCAAAUUUGCUUGUAAGUUCAUCAAAUGCCAUUAUAUAUGGAUCUUGUUUAUAGAGAUCUAUGCAAUAGACUCCCUUGAUUGUAUUACUGCAACAUCAUAUGAUUCUCAUUUUAUUAGCAUCCUGAUUUCUGAGAGUAAUAUAUGUCUUGAUGCCUUUAGUUUUUCAAAGUUUCAAUGCUUGUAAUGUUGUCUAAGUUGAGCCUGAUGAAAGCCCCUUUGCUUGUUCAACCUUAGCCACAUCCUUAUAUACAAUGUAGAGUAGGAGAAAAGAUUAUUGGAUUGUUAGAAGGAUUUAGCUCUAAUAUCUAAAUUGGUCAAUCCAUCUGCUUUUUGAUAUUAAUCUUAAUCAUGCAAGUUUAUUACUAUUGAACCACACACUCUUUUCUAUUCCCAGCCUGAAUUUUCUAGCUCUGCUAUUGUACUUGUACUCAAAUCACAUUUAGAAGUCAGUUUUGGGGAGAUGUUGUGACUUUCUACAGUGCUGACCAUACUUCGGUAGAAGAUCAGCUCUUUGGCAUAGGUGUGCUUGAUAAAUAUAGAUAGGCCUUCCUAAGCUGUAAUUUGAGCCUGGCCAUGCUAGAGCAUCCUCCUACUAAAUUGAAUGGCUAUUGUCUCAUAAUGCAGUGUUGGGAUGAUUGCUGCGACAGCUCCUUAUUUCAGUUACUCGUUCAAUUAGUAAGCUCGAGCUCUGUUGUAGGAUGAAUCAUAUUUAGCUGACAUGCCCUCCUUGCUAACUUUUUACCCCCCUUUAGUUGCCAGUCUAUUCAUUGAUUUUGUUUCUAAAAAACCAAUCACCCAGUGGAAUUGCUGUAGUUGUUACUUUUAAUUCAGAAUAGAUUAAGCGGUAAGGACUUGUGGCAGAAAUUACACCAUAUGCUUAUCAGUGCCGAAUGUUGUCUUGUCAACUUAUUAGGCUGCCUGAAUUGUUACAUUAUGGGAAUUAAUGAGUAUAUUCAAUUCAACCUCUGUAAAAUCCUCCAAGCUGUUUAAGGGUAGACUCUGUCAGCAAGUAACAGAUACAGACCUUUGCCAUUGUUUCCCUUCAGCCACUGGAAGCUUUUAGCUGACUUGUAUCUGGUAACUGUUUAACACAGUUUGUUAUGAACAUACCACUGGUUGGUAUAGCCGUGAUUUAUGCAUUUAUAAAAAUGGCUUCGGUACAGCAACUUGGAAUUUAAGUUACAAAAACCUUAAAUGCUAGUUGACUUUCUUGUCUAGAAAAUUAGAGCCCUCAAUCAUCAGUUCACUAACUGUUGUUAGUGUGCUAAAAUUUAUUCAAUAUCUGUUAGCUCCUGGAAUCUAUAAUAUUGUUACUAUAAUCUUUAUAGCUUAAGUUGCUCCUUAAAAGAGAACAUUAUCAAGGACUUGUCUUGGCUAAAGGUAAGCAUUUGCCUUGUGACACUGCAUCACCCUUAAGUCAGCUCAAGCAGUGGACUGUUCAUGAUAUUGCAUGAGCUGUAAAAAUGCAAAUGUUUGCAUGCUGCAGAUAUUGGUUUUGUUCUGGCAAACUUGAUAAUUGCCUUUGCAAUAAAAUUGCCUGAUAAAGAUAGUUUGUAGGAUACCAAUUCUUUCAAAAUGAUGAGGUGGGUAUUGGGUCCUGGUUGGAUUUGCCUUUCAGCUUUAUAGGAUGACUUUAUGAAGAAACUACGGAUGAUCUGAAGAUUGGUUGCAGCAUAUUGCUUCUGAGGCAUUAGUGAUGACUGCCCCUCGACUAAUCAUUGACUUUACUCUAGUUUGCUUUUAUCAUUAGGCUCAUUUUCAAUUUACUAUUUUUCCAUUUUGCCUCUGGUAUUGAGUAAUAAUGAUAUUAUCAGAGAUAUUCCACCUUAAGUAAGAGGGCAAAAUUGUUCUCUGCUAUUUUGCUCAAUUUGUAUGACUUGUUUCUCGAGAUGAUCAGGUAACAAGCAUUAUAAAUCUAGUGUGAUGAUGAUUUGGAUGCUCCACCCUAGAAAUAAUAAUUACAGAGGCAUUGUUCCAACUAGACCUGUUCAUGGGCCGCUCCUUGCUGCUCAGGCUAAGUUUUGCCCAAAGGUCAACAACACAAUUCAGUUAGCUCGGGCCUGGUCUGGCCCUUGGAUCAGAGAUAUUCCACCUUAAGUAAGAGGGCAAAAUUGUUCUCUGCUAUUUAGCUCAAUUUGUAUGACUUGUUUCUCGAGAUGAUCAUGUAACAAGCAUUAUAAAUCUAGUGUGAUGAUGAUUUGGAUGCUCCACCCUAGAAAUAAUAAUUACAGAGGCAUUGUUCCAACUAGACUUGUUCAUGGGCCGCGCCUUGCUGAGCUCAGGCUAAGUUUUGCCCAAAGGUCAACAACACAAUUCAGUUAGCUCGGGCCUGGUCUGGCCCUUGGGCCUACCUUCUAGGCAUAAGCCCGGUCCUUACUUGGGCUUUGGGCUACGCCUUGAGCUUCCUGAUCAUUUUUAUUUUUUAGAAAUAUUAGAAAGAUACUUAAAAUAAUUUGGAAAAUGCUAAACAUGAAUAAUUAAAUAUUGCCAACAACUUACAACAUGUCUAAUAUCCCAUUAAGUUCAUAUAUUGACAACAAUUCUCAAUUAAGUCCACCAAUACAUCAUACAUAGGCAAACGACACAAGGAACAUGAGAAAAAAUUCGGGUUGGGCUGGGCUUUAAUCCCAAGCCUGAGCCUGACACAUUUGUUAACCUAGAAAUAUGGCUGGAGCCUGCCCUAAAGGCUGCAGGCUUGAGUGGCCAGGCAGCCGCCUGAGCCUGACACAUUUGUUAACCUAGAAAUAUGGCUGAAGCCUGCCCUAUAGGCUGCAGGCUUGAGUGGCCAGGCGGGCUGCCUGGCCCAUGAACAAAUCUAAUUCCAACAAAAUGGCAUUUUUCCCUCUAUCAAAGAAUCCUAUAAUAGUAUUUGUAAGGUCUUCUCAAAUUAUGGCCCAAUGUUGUUUGAUGUUUGAAGUAUUCAUCAAGAAAAUGAUGCUGUCCUGUUUACCACUGAAGGUUAAAAUUUUGACGUUUUAUGCCCAUGUAGCAAAAUUGAAUUGGAUAACUUUUACAAAAUUAUUGAAAGCAAUUGUUCAUGGGGGCCAUUAUUUAAGGAGAUCAAAGCUGCCUACAGUAAAUCUCUCAUGUGUGUACGCACAGAUUGAGAUGCAAUCCGGACUUUAAAAUCUUCCCUUCUCGAGCUCUUGUUGUUUAAUCAUGCGGAGAUUUGAUUACAAGUGAAUUGUUGAGAUUGACCAGUAACUUUUGUUACUGAAGGUGUAUCGUUGAUUCUAUGAAUUGUAUCAUUAAUGUUCUUACAAUUGUGUUUCUUUAACAAACCUACAUCAUUUGCAGUUCCAAUUUCUUGGACGAAUGGAAGCCCCUCUUAAUUGAGGAAUUAAAAAUCUUGUAGCCAUGCCUGAUCUCAAAUUCCGACUAAUUUUGUCUGUAAGUUGUGUCUUGCAGAUUUCUCUUAGGGUUGUGAACCAUACUUACUGGAACCAAGAAAAGUGCAAGGUUUAUCUACUGCACUUGCAGACAGCUUAGUUGCCUGUGACCACAUAAGGCCCCAAAUGGAA